rnacentral:precursor_RNA from 15 species
CAACUCAGCUUCAUAUCCAGGGUCCCAUCUAGGUCUGAUACUCUAUCUUUCAGUGAUGUUCUAAAACCUGGAACAUAGUUUGUCUGGCCUGGAAGUGUCCUUUGGCUAGGACUCUAUUGAAA